rnacentral:rRNA from 1 species
GACGAACGCUGGCGGCGUGCUUAACACAUGCAAGUCGAACGAUGAAGCCGGAGCUUGCUCUGGUGAAUUAGUGGCGAACGGGUGAGUAACACGUGAGUAACCUGCCCUUGACUCUGGGAUAACUGCUAGAAAUGGUAGCUAAUACCGGAUACGACCCUCGGAGGCAUCUCCAGGGGGUGGAAAGAAUUUCGGUCAAGGAUGGACUCGCGGCCUAUCAGCUAGUUGGUGAGGUAAUGGCUCACCAAGGCGACGACGGGUAGCCGGCCUGAGAGGGUGACCGGGCACACUGGGACUGAGACACGGCCCAGACUCCUACGGGAGGCGGCAGUGGGGAAUAUUGCACAAUGGGCGCAAGCCUGAUGCAGCAACGCCGCGUGAGGGAUGACGGCCUUCGGGUUGUAAACCUCUUUUAGUAGGGAAGAAGCGAAAGUGACGGUACCUGCAGAAAAAGCACCGGCUAACUACGUGCCAGCCGCCGCCGUAA